GGGACACCCAUGUCUGGAAAUUGUUUAUGGUUGACGUCCUUUGAUCUGAGCUGGAGAAGAGGAAGGAAGGGGGGGAGACCUCCCCCAUCUGACUGAUGACCCACAAAGAAGAAGGGAGCUGGGAGGAGUCUCAAGGCCGGAGAAUGCUUCCGAGGCGGGAGUUGUCAUGGAGACGAAGAUGGGGCAGAAGGAGGGUGUAGUGAAGCGAUAAAAGAGGGGGGCCCAGUUGGUUCGGGGCUUUUGGCUUUUUUUGAGGAGUUCUGGGGGAGUUCUGAGAGAGUCUGUACCUGUUCGGUGUUUUUGACCCGCUGCGUCGGGAAUUUGGAAUAUUUUUUCUUCAUCAUCUAAAAUUAAACUUUUGUUCCUUUUUAUAAGGAGCUUUAAAACGGAUCUCCUGCCUGGGGUCUCCUUGGUGUCGCGUAUCCGCAGAAAGACCAUAAUCGAGAGCAUUCGCUGGCCACAGCCUACAUGUGAUAGUGAUGAGGAGGACGACCCUGUUCCAGUGGAUAACAUCAGUACAGUCACAGGAUUUUUGAGGAAAUUCAUAGAGGAAGAGUUUGCUGUCCACACGAAGCUUAUCCACCAAGAUGACAACCCUUCUAGCAUCCUGGAUAAACUUUUUGCGCAGCAGGAAGAGGACUCGGCGCCGAUCCAUGUGUGGCAGUGUGAGUGUCCUGUCACAGUGUCCUGAUUAAUCAUGCACCCUGGCUACUUGGCCAAGGGGAUGUCCCAUUGGCUGACUGGUAAGAGUGCGUGAGUCUGGGGAUCGAAUUCCACCCGGGCCCGCAUUUCUCCACCUUGCCACAUUUGGUGUUGUUGGCGGGAUCCAUGUAGUAUUGUCAAGUAGGUCCAUGGAUAUGAAGUUUGUGGCACCCUGCUCGAGAGCACGAGUACGUGCUUGUGGAAAGAGGGGGGAAGAUUUGGCGUCUGGGGAUCGA